AAAAGCUUUCAUUCAAAGUAAGAGAAAAGGGAGCACAGCUCUGACAAAGAUAAAGGUGGUCCUGAACAAGGAAAUAGCAGAUGGGGAAGGUUCUCUGGUUCGAAUAGCUGGACCGGGGCUCACGCUAAGGCAGGGGCCCCGACUGGCCCAGCCACGAAAGCAGGAAGCCAGCUUUUCAGGACCAGCUGAGAUGGUGGAGCCUGGUCAUCGUUAUCUCAGUCCUGCUUCCGAGCUCUAGAAGAACAGAUCACAACGUAUGCCUCGCGGCCAGGCGGCCCUGAGCCACCAGUGGUACGUGCAUGAGUGUCCCCUCGGGUGGCAUGGAACGGUCCCGACAGGUGGUACCAGCGGCCUGUGGGACAGUCAUGCAUUGCCACCAGUGGCCCAAGCCAGUGAGACUGUUGAGCGCAGCUGGAUUCCCAUGGAGACCGCCUGUGUGUGGUCCCGGUCACAUGAAGCUUGCUCUUCCUGGGACCCGGAUGACUAUUGGAUGAGGACAACCGCUGGAGAUUCUUAGGUGUUGCUGCAAGGAGAGGAAGGGCGUGGAAUCGGGACACUAUAAAAUCUGGUCGUCGGAAUCCCCCUGAACACUGAACAUUACUUUAGUUACCCCUCCCAUGGUGUCCUCCAGUCUGAAGGGGGCUGAGACGGGGCAGGAUUCCAGGGCGGCACCGGCAGAGCUCUGAUCCAAGGUCGGCACCUUCGUGGGCACCAGGUCUACGAGCCUCUAAAAGAAUCUGGGCAUGAUGGCACACACCUGUAAUCCCAGCACUCGGGAGGCUGAAGUAGGAGGAUCUCCUUCGAGGCCAACCCUAUACUACAUAGUAAGCUCAAGGCCAGCCUGAAGUACACAGUUCCAUGCUAAUCAGGUAUCAGAACCAUUACGAUCUUGCCUCUGUUUACCUUUGGAGAAAAGCAAAUUGUCAUUUCUCCCAACUCGGGGGCUGUGGAAAGCAGGGAGACUUCCUACACACCGCGUCCACACCCCUAACGUGCUGGGCA
rnacentral:lncRNA from 1 species